rnacentral:rRNA from 1 species
GUACGCUGGCGGCACGCCUAACACAUGCAAGUCGAACGAAGUAGCAAUACUUAUUGGCAGACGGGUGAGUAACAUGUAGGUAUCUGCCCUUUGGCCUGGAAUAACACGAGGAAACUUGUGCUAAUACCGGAUAAGUCUUUACGGAGAAAGCUUUAUGCACCAUUGGAUGAGCCUGCACUUGAUUAGUUUGUUGGUAGGGUAAUGGCCUACCAAGACUGUGAUCAAUAGCUGAUUUGAGAGGAUGAUCAGCCACAUUGGGACUGAGACACGGCCCAAACUCCUACGGGAGGCAGCAGUGGGGAAUCUUGCACAAUGGAGGAAACUCUGAUGCAGCGAUGCCGCGUGAGUGAAGAAGGCCUUUGGGUUGUAAAGCUCUUUCGUCGGGGAAGAAAAUGACUGUACCCGAAUAAGAAGGUCCGGCUAACU